AGCAGCCGCGGUAAUUCCAGCUCCAAUAGCGUAUAUUAAAGUUGUUGCAGUUAAAAAGCUCGUAGUUGAAUUUCGGGGUCAGUAGGUUGGUCGUGCCACCGGUACGUACUGGUCUCACUGAUUCCUCCUUCCUGAAGAACCGUAAUGCCAUUAAUUUGGUGUUGCGGGGAAACAGGACUGUUACUUUGAAAAAAUUAGAGUGUUUAAAGCAGGCUAACGCUUGAAUACAUUAGCAUGGAAUAAUGAAAUAGGACGAUCGAUCCUAUUUUGUUGGUUUCUAGGAUUGACGUAAUGAUUAAUAGGGAUAGUUGGGGGCAUUAGUAUUCAAUUGUCAGAGGUGAAAUUCUUGGAUUUAUUGAAGACUAACUACUGCGAAAGCAUUUGCCAAGGAUGUUUUCAUUAAUCAAGAACGAAAGUUAGGGGAUCGAAGACGAUCAGAUACCGUCGUAGUCUUAACCAUAAACUAUGCCGACUAGGGGUCGGAUGAUGUUAAUUUUAUAAUGACUCAUUCGGCGCCUUA
rnacentral:rRNA from 1 species